GACCAGCUUGGCCAACAUGGUGAAACCCUCUCUUCGGAUCAUCUGAGGUCAGGAGUUCAAGACCAACCUGGCCAAGAUGGUGAAACCCUGUCUCUAUUAAAGAUACAAAAAUUAGCUGGGACUCAAGGCAGGUGCCUGUAAUUCCAGCUACUUGGGAGGCUGAGGCAGUAGAAUCGCUUGAACCUGGGAGGCGGAGGUUGCAGUGAGCCAAGAUCAUGCCACUGCACUCCAGCGGUGGCAGGCACCUGUAAUUCCAGCUACUCAGGAGGCUGAGGCAGGAAAAUCACUUGCUAAGUUGCAGGAAAGGGUCUAUGACAGCUAUUCUUCCCUUAAUAAAGUUAUUUCUUUUAUCUCUUUUGUUCUAAUGUGAUGUGAAUAAUAGCACCAUUUCCUAGUACCCAAAUUUAAACCUCAUUAUUAUAACAAAGUUUAAUUCCCAUAUCUUAUAAGUUCCCCUGAGAUUCUGACUUUGCAAGGCUUCACAUAACUUGCCUUUCCGGUCCCACCAACAACCACCUCAUUCUGGUCUUCCCUGUCCCUAGCAAGAAGUCCCACAAUAGCCCCUGAUCAAAGUAAGUUUCCUAAAGCACAACUCUCAUCAUGCAUCUGCCAGGAAGACCAGCCUGGGCAAUAUAGGGAGACCUCUUAAAAAAAAAAAAAGGAAAAGGAAAAAUAAAAGAAAACCCAACCAGAAUACCCCUAAAUCUCUCAAAUUCAUUCCUCUCCAACUCUUUUUUUUCUGAAGUCUACUGUUGCCACAAGUUCCAUUAUUAAAUCCCUUCACACAUCCUGCUCAAGUCUCUGGCCACUGUUUUUUUGUUUUUUGUUUUUUGUUUUUUGGCAAGGAGGUCAGUACAGUUUUAGUGGAUUUGUUUUCUGUCUGUCUUUGUGUUUCUGUCUUCCCUGGGCACUCCUGAUUUUUCCUUUAAGGAGAAAAGAAUGUGCCUUCGAAUUUUCUCCUCUUGACUCCGCUGCUCCCGGCCCGGGUUUUCUGUUUUGAAGAGGUGCUUAGUCCUGUCAGAAAGAACUAACUGAAUAUGGGGGCUAGAGGGAAAUGGUAACAGGAGAAAAGGGUGUUAAAGGAAAGAUUUUAGGAAGAGGUAAUUGAGCUGAGUUUGGAAAAGAAUGAAACCCCUUAAUUUCCUUUAGACGAUCCCGGCCCACUACAACCUCUGCCUCCCGGGUUCAAACAGUUCUCCUGCCUCGCCUGUGUAGCAUUGUCAGGUGUUGAUUUUGCUCUGGGGGUAGAGGACACCACUGAGUAUGAUCUCAAGUCUAAGACAGCGGUAAUUCCCCUGGGAUGGAAGUGCAACCUCCGAUGCCACCACCUGGAUUCUGUGGAUUAAGGAGCUCAACUAACUCAGUUUUCUAUUGUCUUAGAAAUUGGAUGCAUAUAAGCGCCUGUGUGCCUUUGCCUACCCAAAUCAAAAGGUAACUUUUUAAAGGAUGGACGUUUCAAUGCUUAUCCUAAUUACCUAUUGUAGCCUCAAAAGUGAGUAAAGGAACUGUCUUAGCCUCACCUUGUUCCUCCACCCCUAGUUCUAAGAAAGAACAAUAUUUCCCAUCUCUAUGGUAAUUAAUGGCAGAAAAGCUGGAGAGUUGGAUUCUGCGGUGCUGCUGACAGGUGAACUCUGGUCCUCUGCACCUGUUUAUGGGCCAUGCAGACUGGUGGGGUGGCAGAUGUUAGCCUAAGACCCCUAGCAGUGCCUGUUGCUUUGUGAGUGGAGAUAGAGACUCUUACAUUUAAAAAUGGAAAAAAAGCAAGGGAGGAAAGUUUGUUGAGAAGCAAGAUGUUCUUCUCUCCUGCCCGCCCCCGCCGUUGGUUGUUGGUGGUCAGAAUUAUUGUGUAAUAAAUAAUAGACUGCAGUGAGUAACGAGAGGACAAUCUCUGUAUUCAAAAAAAGCUAAAAUUGGCCGGAUGCGGUGGCUCACACAUGUAAUCCCAGCGUUUUGGGAGGCUGAGGGGGUGGAUCACCUGAGGUUGGGAGUUCAAGGCCAGCCUGACCAACAUGGAGAAACCCUGUCUCUACUAAAAACAAAAAUUAGCCGGGCGUGGUGGCACAUGCCUGUAAUUCCAGUUACUCAGGAGGCUGAGGCAGGAGAAUUGGUUGAACCCGGGAGGCAGAGGUUGUGGUGAGCCAAGAUCACGCCAUUGCACUCCAGCCUGGGCAACAAAAGCAAAACUCCAUCUCAAAAAAAAAAAAAAAAAAUUAGCUGGGUGUGGUAGCACAUGCCUAUAAUCCUAGCUACUUAGGAGGCUGAGGCAGGAGAGUCACUUGAACCUGGGAGGCAAAGGUUGCAGUGAGCCAAGAUUGUGCCUCUGCACUCCAGCCUGGGCAAUAGAGUGAGACUCCGUCCCACACACACAAAAAGGGCCAGGUGCAGUGGCACACACCUGUAAUCCCAACAAUUUGGGAGGCC
rnacentral:lncRNA from 10 species